rnacentral:rRNA from 1 species
UACGAAGGGGGCUAGCGUUGUUCGGAAUCACUGGGCGUAAAGCGCACGUAGGCGGCUUUUUAAGUCAGAGGUGAAAUCCUGGAGCUCAACUCCAGAACUGCCUUUGAUACUGGAGAGCUUGAGUCCGGGAGAGGUGAGUGGAACUGCGAGUGUAGAGGUGAAAUUCGUAGAUAUUCGCAAGAACACCAGUGGCGAAGGCGGCUCACUGGCCCGGUACUGACGCUGAGGUGCGAAAGCGUGGGGAGCAACAGGAUAGAA